AGAGCCUGCACUAACAGGCCAGGGGAAGAAUUCUAAUGGUGUCUGCCAUCAUCUGUGUCAGCACACCUAUACUAGGUCACAAUAAUGGCUGCUGCCAAAGUCUCAAUCCUUGGGGAGGUCUCACCUCUCAGUGAGAUGCACUCAGAACGCAUCAGGUGAGUCACUCACUGACUAAGGAACAGUCUUACCCGAAGUUGCCUGCGGCUCACAUUUCCUCGCGGCUUUCCAGGGCUCUGCUGACUCAUAAGGGCCAUCAGAAUCUGUAAGAAAAAGAAAGGGAGAUCAAAUUAUUAUGCUGGGAUCAAGAGACACUUGAACAGUGGAUAUGACAAAACUUCAUUUCUCUCUGCACCUCUUCUCUAUUAUUUCUAAGAUACACUGCAUUUGUUG
rnacentral:lncRNA from 1 species